rnacentral:rRNA from 1 species
AUACGGAGGGUGCGAGCGUUAAUCGGAAUUACUGGGCGUAAAGCGCGCGUAGGCGGCUUUGUAAGUCGGAUGUGAAAGCCCUGGGCUCAACCUGGGAAUUGCACUCGAUACUGCAGAGCUAGAGUAUGGUAGAGGGAAGUGGAAUUUCCGGUGUAGCGGUGAAAUGCGUAGAUAUCGGAAGGAACACCAGUGGCGAAGGCGACUUCCUGGGCCAAUACUGACGCUGAGGUGCGAAAGCGUGGGGAGCAAACAGGAUUAGAAACCCCAGUAGUCC